rnacentral:sRNA from 1 species
GCUGGGAAUAGUGGUGCAUGCCUGUAAUCCCAGCACCAAGGAGGCUGAGGCAGGAGGAUUACACAUUUAAAACAACUUAGGGAGGCCCUAGACAACUUCAUGAGACCCUGUUUCAA